GAUGAAGAACGUAGCGAAAUGCGAUACGUAAUGUGAAUUGCAGAAUUCAGUGAAUCAUCGAAUCUUUGAACGCACAUUGCGCCCCUUGGUAUUCCAUGGGGCAUGCCUGUUCGAGCGUCAUUUGUACCUUCAAGCUCUGCUUGGUGUUGGGUGUUUGUCUCGCCUCUGCGUGUAGACUCGCCUCAAAAUAAUUGGCAGCCGGCGUAUUGAUUUCGGAGCGCAGUACAUCUCGCGCUUUGCACUCAUAACGACGACGUCCAAAAGUACAUUUUUACACUCUUGACCUCGGAUCAGGUAGGGAUACCCGCUGAACUUAAGCAUAUCAAUAAGCGGAGGA
rnacentral:misc_RNA from 1 species